rnacentral:rRNA from 1 species
ACCUACGGGGGGCAGCAGUGGGGGAUAUUGCACAAUGGGGGGAACCCUGAUGCAGCGACGCCGCGUGGGCGAUGGAGUACUUCGGUAUGUAAAGCCCUAUCAGCAGGGAAGAAAAUGACGGUACCUGACUAAGAAGCCCCGGCUAAAUACGUGCCAGCAGCCGCGGUAAUACGUAUGGGGCAAGCGUUAUCCGGAUUUACUGGGUGUAAAGGGAGCGUAGGCGGCCUGGCAAGCCUGAUGUGAAAUACCGGGGCCCAACCCCGGGGCUGCAUUGGGAACUGCCGGGCUGGAGUGCCGGAGAGGCA